rnacentral:tRNA from 1 species
GCUGGCGUAGCUCAGUUGGUAGAGCAGCUGAUUUGUAAUCAGCAGGUCGCUAGUUCAAAUCUAGUCGCCAGCUCCA